CCAUCGUCUUGAUUGCAGGCAGAAUGGAGAGUGUCGGUUAACUUGCCCCAAAUACAGCAUGGUAUUCUUGAAUCACUACCUCACAAGUAAAAAAAGCGAGAUAUGGUUUGUUGUGCGAUAUGCUCCUCCAGCAGGCCUGACUUGGAAGUUUCUGAUGUUGCGCCAUACUCCAACCAGAAGAAGUCUUCCUUUACUCUCAAAGUAAGUCUUUUUGCAGCUUGCAUGAAUUUUAUGACCCUUGUACAUGUUACAAUUAAAUAAAUUAGAAAUAUUAACAUCA